GGGAGCUUUAUCUCGGNCUGGUCGUGCGCGUUGCUUCCGGAUAUCACCAAACCCCGGCACGAAAAGUGUCAAGGAACAUGCAACCGAACGGCCGGUAUUCGCCUCCCCGGAGACGGUGUGUGCGCGGAUGCUGAGCUGCGAUCUAAAGUCUAAAACGACUCUCGGCAACGGAUAUCUCGGCUCUCGCAUCGAUGAAGAACGUAGCGAAAUGCGAUACUUGGUGUGAAUUGCAGAAUCCCGUGAACCAUCGAGUCUUUGAACGCAAGUUGCGCCCCAAGCCUUCUGGCCGAGGGCACGUCUGCCUGGGUGUCACAAAUCGUCGUCCCCCACUCAUCCUCUAAGGAUUCGGGACGGAAGCUGGUCUCCCGUGUGUUACCGCACGCGGUUGGCCAAAAUCCGAGCCAAGGACGCAGGGAGCGUCCCGACAUGCGGUGGUGAACUCGAUCCACUUUCCUAUCGUCGGCCGCUCCUGUCCGGAAGCUCUAGAUGACCCAAAGUCCUCAAAGCGAC
rnacentral:rRNA from 1 species